AUAGCGUAUAUUAAAGUUGUUGCAGUUAAAAAGCUCGUAGUUGAACUUUAGGCCCGGUUGGACGGUCUGCUCUAGGGUUUGUACUGUCCUGACUGGGUCUUACCUUCUGGUGAGCUGUCGUGUUGUUCACUCAGUGCGGCAGGGAACCAGGACUUUUACUUUGAAAAAAUUAGAGUGUUUAAAGCAGGCAUCCGCUUGAAUACAUUAGCAUGGAAUAAUAGAAUAGGACUUUGGUUCUAUUUUGUUGGUUUCUAGGACCGAAGUAAUGAUUAAUAGGGAUAGUUGGGGGCAUUAGUAUUUAAUUGUCAGAGGUGAAAUUCUUGGAUUUAUGAAAGACUAACUACUG
rnacentral:rRNA from 1 species